rnacentral:rRNA from 1 species
UACGUAGGGGGCAAGCGUUGUCCGGAAUCAUUGGGCGUAAAGAGCGUGUAGGCGGCCCGAUAAGUCCGCUGUGAAAGUCCAGGGCUCAACCCUGGGAUGCCGGUGGAUACUGUCGGGCUAGAGUCCGGAAGGGGCGAGUGGAAUUCCUGGUGUAGCGGUGAAAUGCGCAGAUAUCAGGAGGAACACCGGUGGCGAAGGCGGCAUCCUGGACCGGUAUUGACGCUGAGGAGCGAAAGCCAGGGGAGCAAACGGG